rnacentral:misc_RNA from 1 species
CCUAUCUUGAUGUCUUUUGGGUUAACGACACCCACCACUGUCUCUGUUUCUCCGUUGCCAGCCACCAUUCUUAAAUGGUCUGUGAUAGAUGACAAGAAAGAGUCUGGCCUUCCUAUUAUGUACAUAAUCCCAACCACAGCAACCUUUCCAUCUUGGCUCUCAUGAACCAUAUGCAGCUCUAGAGCAAACUUCCUGCCACUGAUGGUGUGCUCAGAAGGAGAGUGCCAAUGACACUGUUUGAGAACAUAUUCAGUUCCAUUUAUUUCAAGAAUUCCUGCACCACUUUCCCA